rnacentral:rRNA from 1 species
CCUACGGGAGGCAGCAGUGGGGAAUUUUGCGCAAUGGGCGAAAGCCUGACGCAGCGACGCCGCGUGGGUGAAGAAGGCCUUCGGGUUGUAAAGCUCUUUCGGCAGGAACGAAACGGCGGACUCUAACAUAGUCUGUCAAUGACGGUACCUGAAGAAGAAGCACCGGCUAACUACGUGCCAGCAGCCGCGGUAAUACGUAGGGUGCGAGCGUUAAUCGGAAUUACUGGGCGUAAAGCGUGCGCAGGCGGCUUUGUAAGCCGGAUGUAAAAUCCCUGGGCUUAACCUAGGAACUGCGUUCGUGACUGCAAAGCUGGAGUGCGGCAGAGGGGGGUGGAAUUCCUGGUGUAGCAGUGAAAUGCGUAGAGAUCAGGAGGAACACCGAUGGCGAAGGCAGCCCCCUGGGUUGACACUGACGCUCAUGCACGAAAGUGUGGGGAGCAACCAGGAUUAGAUCCCCGGGUAGU